AACGAACGUUGGCGGCGUGGAUGAGGCAUGCAAGUCGAACGCGAAAGCCGCAAGGCGAGUAAAGUGGCGGACGGGCGAGUAACACGUAAUCAAGCUGCCCAAGAGACGGGGAUAACCUCGGGAAACCGAGGCUAAUACCCGAUGGUCUGCCGGGGGCGCAUGUUCCUGGUAGUAAAUGGACGGGAUCCUUCGGGACCGUCUGCUUUUGGAGGUGAUUGCGGCCCAUCAGCUAGUUGGUAGGGUAACGGCCUACCAAGGCAACGACGGGUAGCCGGCCUUAGAGGGUGGUCGGCCGCACUGGGACUGAGACACUGCCCAGACUCCUACGGGAGGCUGCAGUCGAGAAUCUUCCGCAAUGGACGCAAGUCUGACGGAGCGACGCCGCGUGGAGGAUGAAGGCC
rnacentral:rRNA from 1 species